rnacentral:rRNA from 1 species
GACGAACGCUGGCGGCGUGCUUAACACAUGCAAGUCGAACGAUGAAGCCCAGCUUGCUGGGUGGAUUAGUGGCGAACGGGUGAGUAACACGUGAGUAACCUGCCCUUCACUUCGGGAUAACGCUUGGAAACGGGUGCUAAUACCGGAUAUGACGCGUCCUCGCACGGGGGUGUGUGGAAAGAUUUAUUGGUGGGGGAUGGGCUCGCGGCCUAUCAGCUUGUUGGUGGGGUGAUGGCCUACCAAGGCUUUGACGGGUAGCCGGCCUGAGAGGGUGACCGGCCACACUGGGACUGAGAUACGGCCCAGACUCCUACGGGAGGCAGCAGUGGGGAAUAUUGCACAAUGGGCGAAAGCCUGAUGCAGCGACGCCGCGCGAGGGAUGACGGCCUUCGGGUUGUAAACCUCUUUCGGUGGGGAAGAAGGCUUCUCAUUUUUGGGGGGUUGACGGUACCUGCAGAAGAAGCGCCGGCUAACUACGUGCCAGCAGCCGCGUUAAUACGUAGGGCGCAAGCGUUGUCCGGAAUUAUUGGGCGUAAAGAGCUCGUAGGCGGCCUGUCGCGUCUGCUGUGAAGCCCGGGGCUUAACUCCGGGUCUGCAGUGGGUACGGGCGGGCUAGAGUGCGGUAGGGGAGACUGGAAUUCCUGGUGUAGCGGUGGAAUGCGCAGAUAUCAGGAGGAACACCGAUGGCGAAGGCAGGUCUCUGGGCCGUUACCGACGCUGAGGAGCGAAAGCAUGGGGAGCGAACAGGAUUAGAUACCCUGGUAGUCCAUGCCGUAAACGUUGGGCACUAGGUGUGGGGCCCAUUCCACGGGUUCUGUGCCGUAGCUAACGCAUUAAGUGCCCCGCCUGGGGAGUACGGCCGCAAGGCUAAAACUCAAAGGAAUUGACGGGGGCCCGCACAAGCGGCGGAGCAUGCGGAUUAAUUCGAUGCAACGCGAAGAACCUUACCAAGGCUUGACAUGCACCGGUAACGCUCAGAGAUGGGUGCCCCCUUACGGGUCGGUGCACAGGUGGUGCAUGGUUGUCGUCAGCUCGUGUCGUGAGAUGUAGGGUUAAGUCCCGCAACGAGCGCAACCCUCGUCCUGUGUUGCCAGCGGGUUAUGCCGGGGACUCAUGGGAGACUGCCGGGGUCAACUCGGAGGAAGGUGGGGAUGACGUCAAAUCAUCAUGCCCCUUAUGUCUUGGGCUUCACGCAUGCUACAAUGGCCGGUACAAAGGGUUGCGAUACCGUGAGGUGGAGCGAAUCCCAAAAAGCCGGUCUCAGUUCGGAUUGGGGUCUGCAACUCGACCCCAUGAAGUCGGAGUCGCUAGUAAUCGCAGAUCAGCAACGCUGCGGUGAAUACGUUCUCGGGCCU